AAGACGGACGAGUGCAAGAGCCGCGACAGCAAAACAGCUAUAAAUGGACCGACGAGGAUGUGGAACGGCUGAUCAAACUGAGGACGCAAAGACAUGAUCUGUUCUCAGGCAGACGAUUUGCUGCAGCUACAGGAUGGGAGUGAGUUAUGUCAUCACAAAAGUGGAAAUUAUUCUUAAUCCUUUUACUAAAUGACCAUAUAUGAAUGUUGUUAACCGCCCUGAUAAAUACAUUUCUUGUUUUCUGCUCACACAUUACAAUAUGUUUUUUUUAUGUGUUUUUGUUUGUUUGUUUGUUUAUGUUUCAGUGCUGUGCUGAAGGAGAUGGGCUUGGCUGGGGUGGUGGGUCCUGCCCGAGCAGCCAAGAAAUGGGAGAACCUGAAAAAAACCUAUAAGGUGGUUUAAUCCUUAUGUGACAGCCAUCGAUGCUUCCCACAACUCUGGCAAAUGCUGCAGAUCCGGCGAGCCGCUGAAAUCCGGAGCAAACUUGCUGAAGCUCAUCAGUGGACCGAGGGAUGCCAAAUGCUCGUGAGACAACACGGUAGGAAGUCGCACUGGCCAACCAGAAGAGGAAGACCAGUGUUUCCAGGUCAUGACCCCAACCAUGGUCAAAUGGAGAGCGAAGGGCGUGGAUCAGAUGGGCAACCGUUGGUCUGGAGAGGCGAAAAUCUGGCCGCAGGUCGCUUUGGCCAUCAAAGUAGAGGGCCAGGACAGGAAGUUGUCGGUUCAGACGACAGUACUGGGUUGGGUGGAUGUUCUGCAAAUAAAAUAAUAAAACUGAU